AGUCGAACGGGGGACUUCGGUCUCUAGUGGCGGACGGGUGAGUAACGCGUGAGAAUCUGCCCUCAGGACGGGGAUAACGACUGGAAACGGUCGCUAAGACCCGAUGUGCCGAGAGGUGAAAUAUUUAUAGCCUGGGGAUGAGCUCGCGUCAGAUUAGGUAGUUGGAGUGGUAAAGGCACCCCAAGCCGACGAUCUGUAGCUGGUCUGAGAGGAUGAUCAGCCACACUGGAACUGAGACACGGUCCAGACUCCUACGGGAGGCAGCAGUGGGGAAUUUUCCGCAAUGGGCGAAAGCCUGACGGAGCAAGACCGCGUGAGGGAUGACGGUCUGUGGAUUGUAAACCUCUUUUCUCAGGGAAGAAUACUGACGGUACCUGAGGAAUCAGCCUCGGCUAACUCCGUGCCAGCAGCCGCGGUAAUACGGAGGAGGCAAGCGUUAUCCGGAAUCAUUGGGCGUAAAGCGUCCGUAGGUGGCGAUUCAAGUCAGUUGUCAAAGCGUGGUGCUCAACACCAUACGGGCAGUUGAAACUGAGUGGCUAGAGUGCGGUAGGGGCAGGGGGAAUUCCCAGUGUAGCGGUGAAAUGCGUAGAUAUUGGGAAGAACACCGGUGGCGAAGGCGCCCUGCUGGGCCUGCACUGACACUGAGGGACGAAAGCUAGGGGAGCGAAAGGGAUUAGAUACCCCUGUAGUCUUAGCUGUAAACGAUGGGUACUAGGUGUUGGCCGUAUCGACCCGGUC
rnacentral:rRNA from 1 species